UGGAAACGAGAAUGUGAAGGCGAAGGGCUGCCUUUUUCCUUGCUGUUGCUCGUCACUCGUGAUGGCGCGCAGUUGCGCGUAAUUUUUAUUAGCGUUAUUAGCGUUACAACAGAGUCAACAGGGAACGAAAAAUUAAUUGGUUGAAAUUUCGAAUAAACCUGCUUUAUUUAUAAUCGCUUUGACCGCACUCCCACGUGCGCAAUAAAAUACGCGAUAUUCGCUCGACAAUUCGUUCUACGCAAUCGUUAUGAAUUGAUAAAAAUGCAAAAUACGUUUGUCCAACGAACGCAUACAAAGACGAUGCAGGGCGAUGCCGCGAGGAUAAUAGAAGUUUUUGAGAGAAGAAUUUGAAAGGAUCCUUCGAAUUGUAUGUAUUUGUUAGAAACAAUUCGGCGUGGAUGGAGUGUUUCUUGGGACUCGAGACGAUAUUUUCUAGCCAUCGACGGCAAUCAGCGUCAUUCUUGAGAGGAAUUAUUGCUAAUACUCCACAGUUUCCUGGAAACAGCGGAGUCUGAGGACGGUGUAGCCUCUCGGUCUCAUUCUAGAAUUUACUUUAGAUCGAGGAUGCUCAAUCAGAGAGCUGGUCCACGAUGUUAUUGGUCGCUUGUGUACCUCAUUGAAGAUCUCGCGAGAUGAGCAUGGAGGGGGUAGUUUUAAAGGAGGUAGAAACGUUUUGAGAGAACUUUUGGAACCCCCCUCAACAUUAAAACUUUUUGAAUUUUAGAAUUGAUCUUAGAACUCUUUCAACUUUAAAAUUGUUUGAAUCUCAGAACCUUCUUAAUGUCAAAAUCUUUUGAAUUUCAGAACAGAAACCUCAGAAUCCUCUCAACAUCAAAAUCUUUUGAGCUUCAGAAUUACUUGGACCUUUUUGAAACUCACAGACUUCAGAAACCUUUCAACAUCAGAACUUUAGAACUGUUUCGAAUCUCAGAAAGCCUCUCAAAGCCAGAAUUAUAAAAACCUUGUAAAUUCAUUGAUGUAAAAGUAAACAUUCAUACAAACUUUGCUUUUGAUUUAAAAUAGAAUUUCAUCAAAUUUCAUUCACCGCAUAGCUCCAGGAAAUAGCUUACCAAACGUUUUGAGAGAACUUUUGGAACCCCCUCAAACAUUAAAACUUUUUGAAUUUUAGAAUUGAUCUUAUAACUCUUUCAACUCUUCAACUUUAAAAUUGUUUGAAUCUCAGAACCUUUUUAAUGUCAAAAUCUUUUGAAUUUCAGAACAGAAACCUCAGAAUCCUCUCAACAUCAAAAUCUUUUGAGCUUCAGAAUUACUUGGACCUUUUUGAAACUCACAGACUUCAGAAACCUUUCAACAUCAGAACUUUAGAACUGUUUCGAAUCUCAGAAAGCCUCUCAAAGCCAGAAUUAUAAAAACCUUGUAAAUUUAUUGAUGUAAAUGUAAACAUUCAUACAAACUUUGCUCUUGAUUUAAAAUAGAACUUCAUCAAAUUUCAUUCACCGCAUAGCUCCAGGAAACAGGUUGGAGCUUACCAAACGUUUUGAGAGAACUUUUGAAACCCCCUCAACAUUAAAACUUUUUGAAUUUUAGAAUUGAUCUUAGAACUCUUUCAACUUUAAAAUUGUUUGAAUCUCAGAACCUUUUUAAUGUCAAAAUCUUUUGAAUUUCAGAACAGAAACCUCAGAAUCCUCUCAACAUCAAAAUCUUUUGAGCUUCAGAAUUACUUGGACCUUUUUGAAACCUCACAGACUUCAGAAACCUUUCAACAUCAGAACUUUAGAACUGUUUCGAAUCUCAGAACCCUCUCAAAGCCAGAAUUAUAAAAACCUUGAUGUAAAUUCAUUGAUGUAAAUGUAAACAUUCAUUAGCAUACAAACUUUGCUCUUGAUUUAAAAUAGAACUUCAUCAAAUUUCGUAAUAAAUCAAAUUUCAUUCACCGCAUAGCUCCAGGAAACAGGUUGGAGCUUACCAAUUUAUUCCUAGCUAUAAUUAACCUCCGCCCCGUUCGACCCGGCUUCGAAUAAUCAAUUAUUUAUCAAAGCACCUUCGCUAACCCCGUUAAAAUCGCCCGUUCCCAUAUACGCAACGGGGGCAGGUUCAGGGAAAAGAGGAGUGGUUGCAAGCCGAUGUAGAUGCCAAACCAUCUGUCCGCCAUUUCUACGAGCAUAGACGACGAGUGCUUCUCACCCUUGCUUUCCAUAUUCUAUAACCAACCUGUCCGCCAUUUAUUCCAAACGUAUUCUCUCCGCCGAGUGUACAUUGUUGCACAACUACGCCUCUCGGCUGCUCGAAACGACGACGCCCCCCUCCCCUCCCCUCUCCCCUCCCAGCCAUCUCCCCCUCGAGGCGGUUCGCCUCAUUGUUGGAUUCUCUGGACGAAAUUGCGAUGGGAUUUGCGUUAUCAUCCAUUAGAGGGAAGAGACCUUAUACACGGCCAAGUCUUCGCAGCCGCUUCAACGGAGAUUAUAAUAAUCCGAGGGAUAGUUGGAGAGGAGAAAGGAAGGAUCUUUCACGCGGAAACUUAUUAUUAGUUUAUUAUUAGCUAGGCGGUAUGUUGUUCUGUUUCUCACUGUUACAUAUAUAUAUAUUUGUUCCGAAUUGUACGAUCUCGAAAAAUCUUCUUGCGAGCGAAUGGAGCGAGAAUGCGUGGCGGAGGAAGAAAAUUAGAGAAAUUCGUGAAAAGGGAUUGAAAACGCUGUUCCAUCGAUUUAUCUCGCUCGGGGGGCUUUGCUGCCGAGUAUUUUCUCGAAACUUUUCACCCUCGUUUCCUCUGUUAAGAAGGAAGGUGCUCGUUCGGUUUUUGAGGGGGGAGGGAAGAAGAAGAAAAAAAGGUUUUUCAUCAUCAUGGAUUCGCAGAAAAUUUCGCGAAGGAAAACAUGCGAUUCGAUCCAUCUCGUUAAGCGAGUUAGGGAUUCCGUCAGGGAUUCCCCUUCCUCCUCGCUUUAAGGAUUUUAAAAAUCGGUCCCCCAACGAAAGCAUUUUUUCUUUCUUUUUUUUUUUCUUUUUUUAGGAAAAUUUGAUGCCACCGGCCGAGCCUGCUAGGAUUAAUCUCGCCUUCUAGGGAUUUUAUCGUAGCGUUCGUCGGAGCUUUCAUAGACGAAAGCUUGGUUCACUCUCGGAUUAAAGAAAACUCGACUGCGAAAGGGGGAUUUGGGAUGAUAAAAAUUUUUCACAAAAAAUUCUCCAUCAAAUCUUCUCGAAAAUCCGCUCAGGAUGAUUUUGAACACUUCAAACGGAUGAACGUCGUUUCGAAAUAACGAUGCUUCCUUCGUCUCAUUCCCGUUCAAGCCAUCGGUUUGUUUACGUUCGUUGAAAUCCGCACGCCGUCUCUCUCGUGCAACGAUGGAACAUGAUACCGUGGCGAAUUUCGCGUCACAGUUCUCAUUAUUAGGAUUAAUACGGUAUUGGGCGGUCAACGCGCCAAUCACCGCGGCAACAAUUGCACACGUGACACGAAGAGGCGUGGUCAGGACCGACGGUACGAUUUACCACUGUCACGAAAUUAUUACGAAUCAUAUACACUUUUAUUCCAAAUGCGAAUUGUUGAAAUUAGGUGGAACAAAAGUGGAAAGGAAAUUUAUCGAGGCUUCUUUUUCUCUCGUCUGAAUCCGUGGUCGGAUUGGACGCGAUGCGUUCAUGAGACGGAAGUUGUUGAACGGACUAGCGACCUGGUGACCUGGAUAUUUCUCGUGGGGAAACGCGUGUUACGCUUGAUUCCAGGGGAUCGCGUCUAGCGCUUGUCUGGGGUUUGGGAUAGGGCAGUGAGACGAAGCGACAGAGGACGAAGUAGUAAACGGUUUUCUUUACACGACGAUAUUUCGAGAACCGGAAAUCGUAUCGCGAUAAAUCGAAAAACGUUUUGAAAAGCAAAGUUGCACGCUUCUAACGAUCUUUCGUUCGUUAACUGAAAGUCAUUAUUUUUGGAGUUAUAGCAGUUCAAAGUAUUCCUACUUUUAAUAGUUAUUAAAGUAAACGAUUGAAAAUCCACCUUUCCUUAAAUGAUGAUAUUUUAGGAAUCGGAAAUAAUGUCAUGAUAAAUGAAGAAGUUUCAAAGAUUCUACGCUCCUAAUGAUCUUUUAUUCGUUAACUAGAAGUUAAUUUUAGCAGUAUUUGACUAAACUUAAAAUAAAUGAUCGAAAAUCAAUCUUUUCUUCAGGCGACGGUAUUUUAGGAACUUGAAAUCAUAUCGUGAUAAAUGAAGAAGCGCUUUAAAGGAUUCUACGCUUUUAAUUAUCUUUUAUUCGUUAAUCGGAAGUCGAUAUCUUCGGAAUUAUAGCGGUUCAAAGUUCUCUUCAAAUUCCAAUAAAAAAUAAAUUUCUAAAGUGAAUUACAUUUGAUAAUCAACAACGAUAUUCAAUCCUAACCCUUGUGUAUCGAAAAUCAUCGGACCAAUAACUCGUGUACAAUACAUAUAUACACACGCGGCCAUAAAUUAUCCUUCCGUAGCCAUCCUUCGAAAUCGAUGCCUUGGAGAUAAAUCAAAGUGGACAAAGGUGGCGUUGCGGUAUCCCUGGAACGAUGAAUAAUCAUGUGCGAGAUAGCAAAUAGCCGGGAACGAUGGGACGAUAAUGGGCGGCUGGAAUCUCGCGUCUUGCCUCAGCUCGAUAAUGGUUAGUUCAUUUAGACGAAGAUUCCGCGAGGGGGGGGCGGUAUCAGCCUCGAGGGGAUUUCCACGGAUUUUAAUUAAUCCGCCGCAAUAAUGGGGCUGUAAUGGACGAGAUCACCUACUCGCUUACCUUUCCUUCUUACCUUCUGUUCCUUCCCCUCCCUCCUCUCUUUCUCUGUCUCUCUCUUCCUGUACCCCCUCCAUUUUUUUCCCUUCCAGUUGUUUUCUCUUUGGCUCCUCCCCCUUUUUUUUCGACGAUCGAAAUUUUUCUCGUCGAACAUUUCUGGUCUUUUAAUAUGUCGUUAUUAGAAGAAUCGGCGAAGAGUGAAUGAUAUUUUUUAACCCGUUCGGGGAAUGGGAAUUUUUUGUUUUUGAUUUUAUCAUCAUCGGAGAGAGAUUUUAAUCGAGAAAUAUUCGGGGGAAUAGAUUUUUAAUUGCAAUUAAUUUUCCAGAAUUGUGGAUCGUUCGAUUGGAUGGAUUAUCUAUCUAUCGAUGGGAAAGAUUUGAAAAUAUUAAAAAUAUGAACGAGGCGGAUACGAAUCACUUUUGCUUUAAUAAUCUCGAUCCUCGUUAAAAAACUAUUCUAUUCAAAAAGGAGAGAGAGAGAGAGGGAGGAAAAAAGGAAAAAUUAACGCGUUGGAAAAAUUGGAGAAUAUAAAGCACGAAUGCGGAAAGGUAUCAGGAAGGUUGUCGUUAAUUCGGCCGGUAAAAAUUUAACGGUGACCAUUAUUGCAAAAAAUGUGCGCCAAACCCACGCAAAGUGUCCAUUCCACCGGCCAAUUAGCUUUGAAUUAUUAUCGCGGCAACUGAGCCGCGAUUCUACGAAAAUGGCGCGUGUAAUCCCCGCAUCUCGCUCCUUCCUCUCCCUUUUUUCUCUCUUACCAAGUUAAGCAAAGAGACAAUAAAGUUCCGUAAACGGAGAGAUUAUUCCUCCAGCUUUUCGCUUUCGUUAUCGUCUGGAUAUUCGUCUACUGCAACCAUAAAAAAGAAAAA